AUUGAACGCUGGCGGCAGGCCUAACACAUGCAAGUCGAGCGGAUGAGGGGUGCUUGCACUCUGAUUCAGCGGCGGACGGGUGAGUAAUGCCUAGGAAUCUGCCCGAUAGUGGGGGACAACGUUUCGAAAGGAACGCUAAUACCGCAUACGUCCUACGGGAGAAAGUGGGGGAUCUUCGGACCUCACGCUAUCGGAUGAGCCUAGGUCGGAUUAGCUAGUUGGUGAGGUAAUGGCUCACCAAGGCUACGAUCCGUAACUGGUCUGAGAGGAUGAUCAGUCACACUGGAACUGAGACACGGUCCAGACUCCUACGGGAGGCAGCAGUGGGGAAUAUUGGACAAUGGGCGAAAGCCUGAUCCAGCCAUGCCGCGUGUGUGAAGAAGGUCUUCGGAUUGUAAAGCACUUUAAGUUGGGAGGAAGGGCUGUAGGCUAAUAUCCUGCAGUUUUGGCGUUACCUACAGAAUAAGCACCGGCUAACUUCGUGCCAGCCGCCGCCGUAA
rnacentral:rRNA from 1 species